UACAGAGGUCCCAAGCGUUGUUCGGAUUCACUGGGCGUAAAGGGUGCGUAGGUGGUGGGGUAAGUUUGAUGUGAAAUCUCCGGGCUUAACCCGGAAACUGCAUUGAAUACUAUCUCACUCGAGGUUUGGAGGGGGGACUGGAAUUCUCGGUGUAGCAGUGAAAUGCGUAGAUAUCGAGAGGAACACCAGUGGCGAAGGCGAGUCCCUGGACAACACCUGACACUGAGGCACGAAAGCUAGGGGAGCAAACAGG
rnacentral:rRNA from 1 species